rnacentral:tRNA from 3 species
GUGCCCGUAGCUCAACCGGAUAGAGCACCGGCCUUCUAAGCCGGGGGUUGUGGGUUCGAGUCCCGCCGGGCGCGCCA